GACGAACGCUGGCGGCGUGCUUAACACAUGCAAGUCGAACGGAAAGGCCCUGCUUUUGUGGGGUGCUCGAGUGGCGAACGGGUGAGUAACACGUGAGUAACCUGCCCUUGACUUUGGGAUAACUUCAGGAAACUGGGGCUAAUACCGGAUAGGAGCUCCCGCUGCAUGGUGGGGGUUGGAAAGUUUCGGCGGUUGGGGAUGGACUCGCGGCUUAUCAGCUUGUUGGUGGGGUAGUGGCUUACCAAGGCUUUGACGGGUCGCCGGCCUGAGAGGGUGACCGGCCACAUUGGGACUGAGAGACGGCCCAGACUCCUACGGGAGGCAGCAGUGGGGAAUAUUGCACAAUGGGCCGAAGCCUGAUGCAGCAACGCCGCGUGCGGGAUGACGGCCUUCGGGUUGUAAACCGCUUCCGCCUGUGACGAAGCGUGAGUGACGGUAAUGAGUAAAGAAGCACCGGCUAACUACGUG
rnacentral:rRNA from 1 species